UACCGAAGUUUUCCUCGGUAGUUAACUGCAGCCGGUUUUUUCAAACUUCGGCAGUUAACUGCCGAAGGGCAU
rnacentral:pre_miRNA from 1 species